UCCCAGUAACAAUACUCCUUCAUCAACUAAUAACAAUAGUGUGCAACCUUGCUCUCUUAAAAAACUACUCAAAACUCAUAAAUUCCAUCCAAUACAAGCAAUAACAGACUUCACUCCAAUCAACUUGGAUUCACAGAAUUUUUAUAAUCACAGACUUACUCAGUCAAAACACAUACACAACUUUCAAUAAACAACAAUCAUAAUCUUCCAUCCAUAAUCAAUCUUCUAAUAACUUCUCAUAUAAUUUAAUCACAUAAUACUCUAAUUACGUAAUCAAUAACUCAUAAAUCAAUCUCUGAUUUAUUCCACAAACUCACUUCUUAGUAUUCAAAAACUAUCCAUUACUCUUCAACAACAAAGACAACAAAGAAAACAAAGAGAUAGCACCAAGCUUAAUCCCGACUCAUAACUAUUACAGUCUGGCCCCUCAAACUAACUUCUACAACUCCUAUAUAAUUGCUAUUGAUUUCUAGAUCCUAAUCGUAAUCCAAUAAUAACCACUUUUAAUAACUAAAUCAACCAUCCAUCCUCUUGAACUGACUAUUCAAUGGACUAUUAAUCUAUUUUACCAAUAUCUUACAAAAAUGAACUAAUAUCUAUUCUACAUAGUCCCACUCCUAUCUGUACAGCAUCCUCACAAAUACACAAUUGAUUCCUAUCUAAAAACUACUUAAUAAAACUCUAUAAUGUUACUAAUUCCUCUGGCCCACCCAAUUAAUCAUUUGCUGCAUUAUCAAAUGUAGGUUCCACUGAUUUUGGUUCUAAAUUCAAAUUUUCUUCCUCGUCCAACCUGUCCAUCGACUCCUUCCUCAACUGGUUUGAUAGAUCUUCAUUAUACUCACGCAAUAUAUGGACUUA
rnacentral:lncRNA from 1 species